UCUCUCGGGUCAUGUCUACAUAGUUCUCGAACCCGCAGGGUCUGCACACUUAAGGUUCGACGUUGUUUUAUGCAUAUUUGAGUUAUAUGGUUGGUUACCGAAUGUUGUUCAUAGUCCCGGAUGAGAUCACGGACGUCACGAGGGUUUCCGGAAUGGUCCGGAAACGAAGAUUGAUAUAUAGGAUGACCUCAUUUGAUUACCGGAAGGUUUUCGGAGUUAC
rnacentral:lncRNA from 1 species